AGUGAACGCUGGCGGCGUGCUUAACACAUGCAAGUCGAACGAGAACGGGUUAUAGCUUGCUAUAAUUGUCAGCUAAGUGGCGCACGGGUGAGUAAUGUAUAGGUAAUAUGCCUCUUACUAAGGGAUAACAAAUGGAAACGUUUGCUAAUACCUUAUACUCCUUAUUAACAUAAGUUAAUAAGGGAAAGAUUUAUUGGUAAGAGAUUAGCCUGUAUUGUAUCAGUUAGUUGGUGGGGUAAUGGCUUACCACGACUAUGACACAUAACUGGUUUGAGAGGAUGAUCAGUCACACUGGAACUGAGACACGGUCCAGACUCCUACGGGAGGCAGCAGUGGGGAAUAUUGCACAAUGGAUGAAAGUCUGAUGCAGCAACGCCGCGUGGAGGAUGACACAUUUCGGUGCGUAAACUCCUUUUAUAUGAGAAGAUAAUGACGGUAUUAUAUGAAUAAGCACCGGCUAACUCCGUGCCAGCAGCCGCAGUAA
rnacentral:rRNA from 1 species